rnacentral:rRNA from 1 species
UCUUAACUGGGCGUUAAGUUGCAGGGUAUAGACCCGAAACCCGGUGAUCUAGCCAUGGGCAGGUUGAAGGUUGGGUAACACUAACUGGAGGACCGAACCGACUAAUGUUGAAAAAUUAGCGGAUGACUUGUGGCUGGGGGUGAAAGGCCAAUCAAACCGGGAGAUAGCUGGUUCUCCCCGAAAGCUAUUUAGGUAGCGCCUCGUGAAUUCAUCUCCGGGGGUAGAGCACUGUUUCGGCAAGGGGGUCAUCCCGACUUACCAACCCGAUGCAAACUGCGAAUACCGGAGAAUGUUAUCACGGGAGACACACGGCGGGUGCUAACGUCCGUCGUGAAGAGGGAAACAACCCAGACCGCCAGCUAAGGUCCCAAAGUCAUGGUUAAGUGGGAAACGAUGUGGGAAGGCCCAGACAGCCAGGAUGUUGGCUUAGAAGCAGCCAUCAUUUAAAGAAAGCGUAAUAGCUCACUGGUCGAGUCGGCCUGCGCGGAAGAUGUAACGGGGCUAAACCAUG